UACAGAGGUCUCAAGCGUUGUUCGGAUUCAUUGGGCGUAAAGGGUGCGUAGGUGGCGCUGUAAGUCGGGUGUGAAAUUUCGGAGCUUAACUCCGAAACUGCAUUCGAUACUGCGGUGCUUGAGGACUGGAGAGGAGACUGGAAUUCCCGGUGUAGUGGUGAAAUGCGUAGAUAUCGGGAGGAAUACCAGUGGCGAAGGCGGCUUCUUGGCCUGUUCUUGACGCUGAGGCGCGAAAGCUGGGGGAGCAAACGGG
rnacentral:rRNA from 1 species